GACGAACGCUGGCGGCGUGCUUAACACAUGCAAGUCGAACGGAAAGGCCCUGCUUUUGUGGGGUGCUCGAUUGGCGAACGGGUGAGUAACACGUGAGUAACCUGCCCUUGACUUUGGGAUAACUUCAGGAAACUGGGGCUAAUACCGGAUAGGAGCUCCUGCUGCAUGGUGGGGGUUGGAACGUUUCGGCGGUUGGGGAUGGACUCGCGGCUUAUCAGCUUGUUGGUGGGGUAGUGGCUUGCCAAGGCUUUGACGGGUAGCCGGCCUGAGAGGGUGACCGGCCACAUUGGGACUGAGAUACGGCCCAGACUCCUACGGGAGGCAGCAGUGGGGAAUAUUGCACAAUGGGCGGAAGCCUGAUGCAGCAACGCCGCGUGCGGGAUGACGGCCUUCGGGUUGUAAACCGCUUUCGCCUGUGACGAAGCGUGAGUGACGGUAAUGGGUAAAGAAGCACCGGCUAACUACGUG
rnacentral:rRNA from 1 species